GUGAGCAGAAGAGGUAUAAGUGACUUUUUCCCUACCAUGGGGAAAGUCAUCAUGUUUUCCAAAAAUCCUCAUUUUCAAUCUGUAAUACAUGAAUGAUCAGAUUUUUAACUUAACUCCUGCAGUUAUAGCAAGAACUUAACACUUAAUAGAUCUCGGAGGCUCUCCACAGGAGAGAAAAUUUCCCUGAAAUUGGUCCUCUCAUGUGCCUCAGCUAGGUAAAUAUUUUCAACCGUGCCUCCACAAGGUCUUCCUUGUGUGAACCCUCAAAUACCGCAGGUUCUGCCAGCUGCUGUUAGAAAAACAGGUCGUGCAUUUGUGCAUGCUCAGUGUUUCCUCGGGGAGCUGGCUUCUGAACACAGCCAUUUGUACUUGGUACCUGAGAUAUUUUUCCCAUGAAAUGAAACAGUCUUUUGAUGGUGUUGAGGAAGAGCCACAGCUCUGGCUAAAGCUGAGCAAAUAACAUGCAGUUUUAUCUAAGUGAGAUAAUAGAUCUGGGAUAGCAGUGAAUAGAGCAGACUCUGAAAGGGUGAGUUUUGUUGAUGAAGGAGAUACCAAGAUACACAAUGAAGACUACAGGAAAAUUGGUGUCUUUCAUCUGGCUGCUGUGAGAACUACUGUGUUAAGCUGUCCUUGUUCAAUGAAGUGUUUGAGAAACUAGUGGAGUGCAUCACUGUGUCUGAAUUACCUGUAGUCUCACUGCUAAAUGAAGUUCCCAGAAGAGUGUUGACACAGCCAGCAUAAAAUGUGUUUGACUGUUGCUUGACAGCAAUGAAAAACAUGCCCACACAACAGUGUAAGGUAUCCUUAGAGGCGUUUUUAACUCUUUCCUUAGUUUUAAUUUGCAGGUAGAUUAUAUGUUCUUGAAAUUCUGUGAUGAUGUUUAAUUGUUUUUAUUCCUAAUCCUGCUGGAAAAUGCUGGUAUGGGAAACCACUACAAGUUAACAUACUUUUUGCUAAUGGUAGGCUCUCUACACCUCUUAGAACUGCAACAUUGCAUGUAAGAGGCUUUUGGUGUACAAGGUGACUGCUUCAGCAAUUCCAUCAGACCCAUCAAUCUGUACAGAUGGCUACACAGGCGGCUUUGGGGAUGAGCCAGGCUGUUAGUGCAGAUGAAUGGGCAGAGGCAUCUAUGGAUGGUGAUGGAGAAGAGUAUGUUACUGGAAAACAUGACCCAGAGUUCCGAAGCUCUGGUUAUCCCUAUGCCACCCAGUAUGCAAUAGCGGUGUUGUCCCACCUAGCGAGGCAGAAGGACUUUGCACUCUGGGAAGGGAUGUCUCAGGCAUGGAAAGAUGUCCAUGAACUGUCUAGGAGAUCAGAAUUCACAUAGUGUGGGACAGAUUCCAUGGGUUGCUGGGAGGUAGAAAAUGUAGGAAGAACUAUAGUAAAUUCAAUACCUUAGCAGUUUUUGAGCCUGAGUUGUACUUUUUUUUUUUUCUUAACCUGUACAUGCAGUGCUUUUGUACUUCUGUCCUUAUCUGAGAGCACUAGAGUGUUAAUGUAUCCUUUAGUAUGUUGGGCUGAACUAAAGUGACUUUGAUUUUCCUGUUACAAAAACUCAUUUGGCUGUA